GCCCUUCAUCUGAAGAUCACAGAGGGCUAGAGCGUGGGAUUCUUAAUCUCAGGGAAAUGGGUUCAAGUCCCAUAUUGGGCA